rnacentral:rRNA from 1 species
UGCCUUUUAAUUGGAGGCUGGUAUGAAUGGUUUGACGAGGGCUGAGCUGUCUCUCCUUGAAUAUUUAAAAAUUAACUUCUAGGUGAAAAGGCCUAGAUUAAGCUGAGGGACGAGAAGACCCUGUUGAGCUUUAGUGUGGAGUGGAGUGGUUGUUCCUAUUGUGAUAGAGGACUUUAGGUUUGUUCUUACAUCUUUAGUUGGGGUGACUAGGGAACAUAGAAAGCUUCUCUGUUGAUUUUGUGGAUUUUUAGUUUACUGACGAAUGAUCCAGCAUUGUUGAUUAUCGGAAAAAGUUACCACAGGGAUAACAGCGUAAUCUUUCUGGAGAGUUCACAUUGAAAGAAGGGUUUGCGACCUCGAUGUUGGAUUAAGGUGUCCUGAGGGUGUAGCAGCUUUCGUUGGUUGGUCUGUUCGACCAUUAA